GCAGAGGUUACUGCUAUCGAGGUUCGACUAAGCCAUGCGAGUCGAAUGUAGCAAUACAUGGCGAACUGCUCAGUAACACGUGGACAACCUGCCCUUAGGUUGGGUAUAAACCCGGGAAACUGGGUAUAAUACCCGAUAGGUCUCGAUUGCUGGAAUGCAUCGAGAUUUAAAGCUCCGGCGCCUAAGGAUGGGUCUGCGGCCUAUCAGGUAGUAGUGGGUGUAGCGUACCUACUAGCCUACGACGGGUACGGGUUGUGAGAGCAAGAGCCCGGAGAUGGAUUCUGAGACACGAAUCCAGGCCCUACGGGGUGCAGCAGGCGCGAAAACUUUACAAUGCUGGCAACAGCGAUAAGGGAACCUCGAGUGCCAGGUUACAAAUCUGGCUGUCGAGAUGCCUAAAAAGCAUUUCAUAGCAAGGGCCGGGCAAGACCGGUGCCAGCCGCCGCGGUAACACCGGCGGCUCGAGUGGUAACCGUUGUUAUUGGGUCUAAAGGGUCUGUAGCCGGCCGGAUAAGUUUCUUGAGAAAUCUGGCAGCUUAACUGUCAGGCUUUCAGGAGAUACUGUCUGGCUCGAGGCCGGGAGAGGUGAGAGGUACUUCAGGGGUAGGGGUGAAAUCUUGUAAUCCUUGAAGGACCACCAGUGGCGAAGGCGUCUCACCAGAACGGACCUGACGGCAAGGGACGAAAGCUAGGGGCACGAACCGGAUUAGAUACCCGGGUAGCCCUAGCCGUAAACGAUACUCGCUAGGUGUCGGCCACGGUGCGACCGUUGUCGGUGCCGUAGGGAAGCCGUGAAGCGAGCCACCUGGGAAGUACGGCCGCAAGGCUGAAACUUAAAGGAAUUGGCGGGGGAGCAC
rnacentral:rRNA from 1 species